CCUACGGGUGGCAGCAGUAGGGAAUCUUUCACAAUGGGCGAAAGCCUGAUGGAGCAACGCCGCGUUCAGGAUGAAGGCCUUCGGGUUGUAAACUGCUUUUAUAAGCGAGAAAUAUGAUGGUAACUUAUGAAUAAGGCUCGGCUAACAACGUGCCAGCAGCCGCGGUCAAACGUAGGAUCCGAGAAUUAUCCGGAGUGACUGGGUGUAAAGAGUUGCGUAGGUGGCAUAAUAAGUAGCUAGUGAAAACUGGUGGCUCAACCAUUCAGACUAUUAGCUAAACUGUUAAGCUCGAGACCGGUAGGGGUAACUGGAAUUUCUAGUGUAGGAGUGAAAUCCGUAGAUAUUAGAAGGAACACCAAUAGCGUAGGCAGGUUGCUGGGACGUUUCUGACACUGAGGCACGAAAGCGUAGGGAGCAAACAGGAUUAGAUACCCUGGUAGUC
rnacentral:rRNA from 1 species